CCCUUUACCCUCCCACUUCAGAGUCUUUGAAUCACUAACUGCCAGACCAUAAGACUGCCAUCAGCCACCCAGGAGAGGGGCCGCAAGCAGUGGGAACCCUGGUGCCAUCGGGAGCUGGCAGCCAGCUUAUUAACGAACCGUUUGUGGCUGAACUCUCAGCAGGGAGUGGCCAUUCAGCAAUCCUCCAGCAGGCCACAGAUCAUCACAAGGCCCUGGCGCAUCUGGGAGCUCUGAUCCAGCACAGAUAUCUCAACACUCAAUAUGUAAACUCAAGAUUCAGGACUUCAUGGACAUGACCUAUCAGAUCCUAACAAGAAGCCCAAGAUCUGGAAAAGGAAGACAUUGGACAUUCACUGGGCUCUUAUGAUAUGCCAGACACAAGGUCCAUUCAUGUGGAUUCUCUCAUUAAAUCCUCCCAGCAAGUC
rnacentral:lncRNA from 10 species